rnacentral:snoRNA from 13 species
GUGAUCGGUGAUGAUUUGGAUUUGUUUGCCUGACUUCCUUUGUGGAUAAUGAAGGCAACUCAGUCACUACCUCUUCUGAGACAC